CCUACGGGUGGCAGCAGUGAGGAAUAUUGGUCAAUGGGCGCGAGCCUGAACCAGCCAAGUCGCGUGAGGGAGGACGGCCCUACGGGUUGUAAACCUCUUUUGCAGGGGAGCAACGGGCGCCACGUGUGGCGUUACUGAGAGUACCCGGAGAAAAAGCAUCGGCUAACUCCGUGCCAGCAGCCGCGGUAAUACGGAGGAUGCGAGCGUUAUCCGGAUUUAUUGGGUUUAAAGGGUGCGUAGGCGGAUCGUUAAGUCAGUGGUCAAAUUGAGGGGCUCAACCCCUUCCCGCCAUUGAAACUGGCGUUCUUGAGUGGAAGAGAGGUAUGCGGAAUGCGUGGUGUAGCGGUGAAAUGCAUAGAGAGCACGCAGAACCCCGAUUGCGAAGGCAGCAUACCGGGUUCCGACUGACGCUGAGGCACGAAAGCGUGGGGAGCGAACAGGAUUAGAUACCCUAGUAGUC
rnacentral:rRNA from 1 species